rnacentral:rRNA from 1 species
GCUGGAAACAGUCCUUCCCCUUUCGAGGGGCCGGUUCACAGGUGGUGCAUGGUUGUCGUCAGCUCGUGGCUUCGUGAGAUGUUGGGUUAAGUCCCGCAACGAGCGCAUACCCUCGUUCCAUGUUGCCAGCGCGUAAUGGCGGGGACUCAUGGGAGACUCCGGGGUCAACUCGGAGGAAGGUGGGGACGACCGUCAAAUCAUCAUGCCCCUUAUGUCUUGGGCUCACGCAUGCUACAAUGGCCGGUACAAAGGGUUGCGACGUGGGGUGGAGCUAAUCCCAAAAAGCCGGUCUCAGUUCGGUUGGGGUCUGCAACUCGACCCCAUGAAGUCGGAGUCGGCUAGUAAUCGCAGAUCAGCAACGCUGCGGUUAAUACGUUCCCGGGCCU